UCCCAGCACUAAUAUAUAAAUAAUUUAAAGGGCCAUUUAAAAGUGUUUAACGUUGCAUGUUUGUUUUUACAUUUCAACAAUAUAAUUUGGGGAGUGAAAUCUAAAUUUGCAUAUAACAAAUUGGUUCUUCAGGAGCGUAAUGAAGGCCAGUUGAUAAUCAGAUAUUAACCCACUCUUGUCAUGAGCUUAAAGCAAACAAAUAAACAGCUUUUUAAAGUAAAACAGUGUUGGUUUCAUUAUUUCAGCUGUCAGGCCACUUACAUUUCAAGGCAUUGUGUUGUUUUGAAGACACGGAUAGUAGGGAAUUUGCAUGAGAUGAAAAAACAGGACUUGCAAGCUACAGUAGCCAACAUAAAGAGGGCUAAUUUCAAAAAGAAAAAAAAAUUGAUUGCAAACACAGGGAUAAGCCAUCAGGGAGUUUGAUUCCCAAACCUGCAUCCGCUUCGUACCGAGAAAGGAUGAAAUUGACUAUCUCAGUAUUGAAUCAAGGAGCGGGUAAGUCUGUUGCACAUUUCUCUGCGUUUGGUUCAUAACAACCGUAGGUAGGAAUGGAAAUUUGAGUGGGCCCCAACCAAAGGUCUGACGUCACAGGAAAUAGUUUACACUGCAAACAUCGACUUAACAGAGGUCGCCUUCAAAAUGUGCAUUUGUAAAAGCAUACCACCUCAACAUGCGUUUUCUACCAUAACACCUGCGUUUUUAAUUAUUGCAUCAAAAUAGUUAUAUUAUUUUCCUACUUAACUAUUUCAGAUUGACGAAGUUAAUAUAUGCAAAACACCACAAAGUACACAUAAUGGUAAACAGAUAAAGACAAUCUUACUGUAAAACAUUUUCUUUUGAAAGUCCUUCAUUGACGAUGUAAAGAUCAGUGUUGUAGAGCAUGAUGUUCAGGGACAGCCGCUACACGUGGAACAUGUUUUGCCAUGUUGACCGCCGCAUUACUGACUUGCUUUAAAAAACACUUUUUUUUUGUUUUUUUGUUUUAAAGUUGUAACAUGGAAACAUCAGGGACUAAACAGAUCUGCGCCAACUGCCUCGCAAGCUGUCAAUCAAACGCGGCUUGCACACGAUUCCCCACCCAAAUAUUGCAUCACAAUGACUCCUUUGCUUUGAUUGGCUAAAGCCUGCGGGAUUAAAAAAAAAAAAAAAAAAAAAAGCCUAUUUGACCUAAACUUGUACACCCAUCUUCGAGGCACACAGUUUGCAUGUAUUUUUUAUUUUUUUUAUAAAUGUAAUUAAACAUGGCAACCAUCUUUAAGUUCACCUGUUGUUUUUCUUUUCUUCUUUUUUAGAUGUUGGUCAUAUGUUAAAAAAAUGGGAGGCAAGCAGGUGGUGUCGCUGUCGAGGAACGGCUGCAUUUAUAUCACAGUCGUGCAGCACGAGCUCAUUCACACCCUCGGCAUCGUUCACGAGCAGAUGAGGAGUGACCGAGACCAGUACGUUCAAAUCAACUGGAAAUACAUCAACAAAGAUCAAAUUGUUAACUUUUACAAGCACGACACUGACAAUCUUUGCCUAUGACUGUGCCUCAGUCACGAACUACGCCAGUUGACUGUAGCGCCACACUGAAGGGAAAGGAGUCUGGAGAAUUGAGUUCACCAAACUACCCAAAUACCUACCCAGAUCUUUCUAACUGCAUGCUUCUGAUAACCGUGCCAUCCAGCCAGGUUUUACUGAAGUUUGGUGUAUUUGACAUCCAGGACUCUCUAUAUUGCUCCUCUGACUAUAUUAAAGUUUAUGAUGGUGAAACUAUAAAGUCCCCAGUCUUACUGGACAAAUCUUGUGGGAAUUUUGAGAUUAACUGCCAGUGGUAACGCGCUGCUUGUUGAGUUCGUCAGCGAUCAGUCAAUUGCUAAAACCAGCUUCAAAGCUACUUACAGCACUGUAACAUGUGGAGGCACUUUAACUGGUCUAAGUGGAAGUUUCACAUCUCCGAAUUAUCCAUCGGCAUACCCAGAUAAGACGGACUGCACUUGGACCAUUAAAAUCCCUACAAAUUACAAAGUCUACAUAACCAUCACGUCUUUUGAUGUGGAGUAUUCGCCUGAUUGCCAAUACGACAAUCUGGUUUUUAAAGAUGGGUCCACGGCCUCAUCCCCUGUGGCAGGAAAGUACUGUGGUCAGAUCUCUGUCCCACCGUUCAAGUCCACGGGGAACACUGCUGUGGUUCACUUCCACAGUGAUAACUCAGUGACAGAUGCUGGAUUCUACGCCCAGUACAUGAUUGGUAAGCACUGGGUCAUCAAUAUUUAAUAUUGUAUCCUAUCAAAGUUAUUGUUUCUUUUUUAUUCUUACAGCUGCUGCCUAAGUGAACUACGGAACCAGAACACGGAGUGGAAUUCCAUUAUUAUUAUUAUUUUUUAUAGUAUUAGAUACUGUAUUGUUAUAGGUAAUGUAGAUCGUUGUACAUGAAGGAGCACGUACUGUCAUCAAAAAUGUCAUUUUCAAGUGAAUUUCAAGCCACUUCUGUAUUUAAGUAUUGUGUCAGCUACUUCUUGUUGUUAUUUUGUAACCCCAAAGAUAAGAACCCAGGUCAGAGAGAUUAUUUUGUCUCUCCUUUUGAGAAGUGAGAUUUACAAGGUUCCAUCCCUGACAACACUCCUGUUAUGCAGACCUGGCACCAGGAGUGUAGAAUAAGCAGACAGUCCUGUCUUUUCUUAGCGCUGUAUUUUAACAGAUGCCCUCAGAAAUCAUGCUGGAACCUCACGGGACUCUUAGGUCCCAGUCCGAGGUAGUGUAGAAAUAUACGUAAAAAAAGAAAAUAUUCCUGUUCUCAUCUAUACUCAAUAAAGGAGUUUAUUCUUCA